UUCCUAGUGUGUGUGUAUAUUUUUGUAUAUAAUAUUUAAUGUACACACACACACACACACACACACACACACACACACACACACAC
rnacentral:miRNA from 1 species